rnacentral:sRNA from 1 species
UAUUUAAAGAUACUUUAUAAAAUUUACUGAUGUGAAUGGUUUUAAUGUUUCUAAAAAAAUACAAAUCUAAAAUUAAAGACACUUUUCAUUUUAUUACUAUUUUUUUAAAAGAGUUUUAUACUUAAACGACACUAACUAAUAAAUGAUCAACAUGUAAGGUCUAACUAAUUUGAUGGGUGUGUUAACUUGUUGGCUACCAUCACACCAUGUAAAGCAUCCGAGCUUGAGAGAUUACAUUAUUAAAUUCAUUUUUUUUGAGUUUAAGUUAUUAACUAUAGGUUUUACCACUACUGCUUGAAUACUUUU